rnacentral:rRNA from 1 species
GACGAACGCUGGCGGCGUGCUUAACACAUGCAAGUCGAACGGGCCUGUCUUCUUUUUUGGGGGUGGGUUGAGUGGCGAACGGGUGAGUAUCACGUGAGUAACCUGCCCUUCGGUCCUGGAUAACCGCUUGAAAGGGCGGCUAAUACGGGGUGGUCCGGUUGGUCCGCAUGGGCUGGUCGGGAUAGAUUCACUGUUUUUGGUGUUUCGGCGGGGGAUGGGCUCGCGGCCUAUCAGCUUGUUGGUGGGGUGAUGGCCUACCAAGGCGGUGACGGGUAGCCGGCCUGAGGGGGUGGGCGGCCACACUGGGACUGAGAUACGGCCCAGACUCCUGCGGGAGGCAGCAGUGGGGGGUAGUGCACAAUGGGCGGAAGCCUGAUGCAGCGACGUCGCGUGAGGGAGGGAGGCCUUCGGGUUGUGAACCUCUGUUUCCGGUGGUGAAGGCCCUGUCCGUGUGGUGGGGUUGACGGUAGCCGGGGAUGAAGCGCCGGCUAACUACGUG